AGAGUUUGAUCCUGGCUCAGAAUGAACGCUGGCGGCGUGCUUAACACAUGCAAGUUGAACGAGAACGUCCUUCGGGACUAGUAAGUAGCAAACGGGUGAGUAACACGUGAGAAUCUGCCUAUUAGUGGGGAAUACCCCCGGGAAACUGGGGCUAAUACCGCAUAAUCCUUUUACGAGGGAAAGACGGCCUUUAGCUGUCGCUGAUAGAUGAGCUCGCGUCCUAUUAGCUUGUUGGUGGGUAAAGGCCCACCAAGGCGAAGAUGGGUAGCCGGCCUGAGAGGGUGAACGGCCACAUUGGGACUGAGAUACGGCCCAGACUCCUACGGGAGGCAGCAGUGGGGAAUAUUGCGCAAUGGGCGAAAGCCUGACGCAGCGACGCCGCGUGGGGGAUGAAGGUCUUCGGAUCGUAAACUCCUGUUAAGUGGGAAGAAUUCCGUACGACUAAUAAUCGUUACGGGUUGACGGUACCACUAGAGAAAGCUCCGGCUAACUUCGUGCCAGCAGCCGCGGUAAUACGAGGGGAGCUAGCGUUAUUCGGAAUCACUGGGCGUAAAGGGCGUGUAGGCGGCCUCUUAAGUCAGUUGUUAAAUACUACGGCUUACCCGUAGAACAGCAAUUGAUACUGAGAGGCUUGAGUCUCGUAGAGAAGAGUAGAAUUCUCGGAGUAGCGGUAAUAUGCGUAGAUCUCGAGAGGAACACCAAGGGCGAAGGCAGCUCUUUGGACGAUGACUGACGCUAAAGCGCGAAAGCGUGGGUAGCAAACAGGAUUAGAUACCCUGGUAGUCCACGCCGUAAACGAUGAUCACUAGAUGUGGAGACUUUUUUAAGUCCCUGUGUCGUAGCUAACGCGAUAAGUGAUCCGCCUGAGUAGUACGGUCGCAAGAUUAAAACUCAAAGGAAUUGACGGGGGUCCGCACAAGCGGUGGAACAUGUGGUUUAAUUCGACACUACGCGAGGAACCUUACCUGGGUUUGACAUGUAGUUCGCUACCCAACGAAAGUUGGGGUUUGGAGCUUGCUCCAACGGCUACACAGGUGCUGCAUGGCUGUCGUCAGCUCGUGUCGUGAGAUGUUAGGUUAAGUCCUUUAACGAGCGCAACCCCUACUGUUAGUUGCUACCUUUUAUUAGGAGCACUCUAGCGGGACUGCCUUGGAAACAAGGAGGAAGGUGGGGACGAGGUCAAGUCAUCAUGGCCCUUAUAUCCAGGGCUACACACGUGUUACAAUGGUCGGUACAAAGAGAAGCCAACCCGUGAGGGUGAGCUAAUCUCAUAAAGCUGAUCUAAGUUCGGAUUGAAGUCUGCAACUCGACUUCAUGAAGUUGAAAUCGCUAGUAAUCGCGCAUCAGAAUGGCGCGGUGAAUACGUUCUCGGACCUUGUACACACCGCCCGUCACACCACGAAAGUCGUCUAUACCCUAAGUCGCAUUAGCCAACCGAAAGGAGGCGUGCGCCGAAGGUGUGGGGGAUGUUUGGGGUGAAGUCGAAACAAGGUA
rnacentral:rRNA from 1 species